ACAGAAUAUCCCUCACCAAGAGUUAGAUUCACUUAUAUCCCGUUUCAUCACUGUAGUAUGCCGACAAGAUGGAAGACAGUAUGAAUCCGAAACACUACGCAGCAUGAUACGUAGUCUAGAUCGUUACUUGAAAAUGAACAAUCACCCCUUAAAUAUUCGCUUUGGUGAUUUGAGAGAUUUUCCACUAACAAAAGAAACUUUGAAUAUGAAACAGAAAAUCCUAAAAGAAGAAAAUAGUAAACUCCCUAAAAGACGUGUAGUUCUUACAGAUUAGGAUAUAGAACAUUUAUAUACAUCUGGCACAUUAUCCAUGGACAAUCCAGCCAGUUUGCUGAAUCUGAUACUUUUUAAUAUUGGAAUACACUUUGGACUUCGAGUAAAAGAACAGAACGACCUCCGAUGGGGGGAUAUUAUUCUUUUAACAGACAGUGACGGUAAGCCAAAAACGUGCUCAGCUGAAAAUUACACCAACAUCAAGCAAGUCAAACCCCACCUAUACUCAACGCCACACAUUCCUGAUAGAGAUCCGGUUGCAGCCUAUAUAAAAUAUACUACAUGUAGACCAGAAUCUAUGAUGACUGCAGAUUCUCCAGUUUACCUGGCUCCAAAUGUAAACUAUAGACCGCUAUAUUUUCAGUGGUUUCAUACGAUGAAAAUAGGCACAAACAGAUUACGACGUCUGUUGCAAGACCUCAAGUAUGAUUCUGUGCUACGUGACAAAUGUAAUCGGAAGCGUUUCAAAUCAUACAUGUAACCUAUUGUGUAGUAGCCGCAAGAGAGCUCAAGGAAUACAGUGUUUUGAACAACAUAAACCAUAAUUUAUGGUGAAACUUUUUUUUUUUUUUUAAAUGAUUUGAUUUGGAGCAACACAG